rnacentral:rRNA from 1 species
UUAUAUCAUUAAAUUUAAAAGAUUUGGCGGUAUUUUAUAUAAUUAGAGGAACCUGUGUAUGAAUUGAUGAUCCACGAUAAGAUUUACUUAAUUAUUUAUGUAUUGCUGUUUUAAAAUUAUUAUUAAUUAAUUUUUUUUUAAGUUAUUAUAAUUUAAUUCAAGUCAAAAUAUAGUAUAAUUAAGAUAUGGGUUACAUUUUAAUUUUGAGAUUGGAUUUAAAAGUAA